rnacentral:SRP_RNA from 1 species
CAGGCGAGUAAUCCAGCAUCAACAUGUUCACCCGUGUUGGUAGGAUUGUGUCUUGGACUACGCUUAAUUGUUGGGUUCAUGUUCUAACCUU